UCGAGAAUCUUCCACAAUGGACGAAAGUCUGAUGGAGCGACGCCGCGUGGUUGAUGAAGUCCUUCGGGACGUAAAGACCUUUUAUGCGCGAGAAAGUAAUUGAUCAGCGCAUGAAUAAGAGGCUCCUAACUCUGUGCCAGCAGGAGCGGUAAUACAGAGGCCUCAAGCGUUACCCGGAUUCACUGGGCGUAAAGGGUGUGUAGGUGGUGAUGUUAGUCUUUUGUGAAAGCUUCUGGGCUUAACCCAGAAACCGCGAAGGAAACGGCAUCGCUUCGAGGGUGUGAGAGGUGCACGGAACUCAUGGUGUAGGGGUGAAAUCCGUUGAUAUCAUGGGGAACACCAAAUGCGAAGGCAGUGCACUGGCACAUUUCUGACACUGAAACACGAAAGCGUAGGUAGCGAAUGGG
rnacentral:rRNA from 1 species